CGCGGGGAACUGUGUGAGGGGUGGGGGAAACUUUGAAAGUUGGAUGCUGCAGACCCGAUGACGCAACUAAGACACUGAGAGGUGAAGUAACUGCCAGGAAGGCCAGGAUCUGGGCUUUGCAAUCAGGGUUCUUCUUUUGCUGCAUCUGGAGGCAUGGGUAGCAAGAAACUAAGACGAGUGGGUUUAUCACAAGAGCUGUGUGACCGUCUGAGCAGACAUCAGAUUGUUACCUGUCGGGACUUUUUAUGUCUUUCUCCACUGGAGCUUAUGAAAAUGACUGGCCUUAGUUAUCGAGGUGUCCAUGAACUUCUGUGUAUGGUCAGCAGGGCCUGUGCCCCACGGAUGCAAACGGCUUAUGGGAUAAAGACACAAAGGUCUGGUGCUCUCUCGCCAGCCUUCUUGCCUACAACCCUUUCUGCUUUGGAUGAGGCCCUGCAUGGUGGCGUAGCUUGUGGAUCCCUCACAGAGAUUACAGGUCCACCAGGUUGUGGAAAAACUCAGUUUUGUAUAAUGAUGAGCAUUUUGGCUACAUUACCCAUUGACAUGGGAGGAUUGGAAGGAGCUGUUGUGUACAUUGACACAGAGGCAGCAUUUAGUGCUGAACGACUGGUUGAGAUAGCAGAAUCUCGUUUUCCCAGCUAUUUUAACAAUGAAGACAAAUUACUUUUGACAAGCAGUAACGUUCAUCUUUACCGGGAACUCAGUUGUGAUGAGGUUCUACAAAGGGUUGAAUCUUUAGAAGAAGAAAUUAUUUCAAAAGGAGUUAAACUUGUGAUUAUUGACUCUGUUGCUUCUGUGGUAAGAAAGGAGUUUGAUACACAACUUCAAGGCAACAUGAGAGAAAGGAACAAGUUCUUGGCAAGAGAAGCAGCUUCCUUGAAGUAUUUGGCUGAGGAAUUUUCAAUCCCAGUUAUCUUGACGAAUCAAAUUACCACCCAUCUGAGCGGAGCCCCAGCUUCUCAGGCAGACCUGGUGUCUCCAGCUGAUGAUUUGUCCCCGUCUGAAGGCCCUUCUGGAUCCAGCUGUGUGACAGCUGCACUAGGAAACACCUGGAGUCACAGUGUGAACACUCGGCUGAUUCUCCAGUACCUUGGUUCAGAGAGAAGACAGAUUCUCAUUGCCAAGUCUCCUCUGGCUCCCUUUACCUCAUUUGUCUACACCAUCAAGAAGGAAGGCCUGGUUCUUCAAGGCCAACAGAGGCCAUAGGGACACUAUGACCUUUGUCUAGAGCUGAUGGGGGCACGAUUUGUGAAAUGAAACAGGACUGUGCUGCUUGGAAGAAGGAAACGGAAGCCAACAUAAUGGGGAUUAAUUAGUUGAUUGCUGUUGAGAUGGUAACAGAUUUGCCCUCAUACCAUUGAGCCAGCCAUCUCAGACCUAGCAGGGAAGAUGAGGAAUGAGGAAGAAAAAUUCAGUCUCUUCCUAGAAAGUGAUGGAAGGCGGAGCUGAACCCAGGCCAUCUUGCCUCUUCCUCUCUCACCCUCGCCCGAGUAGUAAUUCUGUUCACAUCUGUUACCACCUCUCCUCAAUUCACUGGUCAUCCUCAGUUCACUAAAGUGCUCAGUCCAACACUCUACACAAAAUAGGAACUUAGUGAAUAUUUUCCAAAUAAAAGCAUCACUAGGAGCAGUGCUAGUGGUUUGAUUCCACUGGGAGAAGUGGCUACAGAAGACAUGGAUAGUGGUGCUGAGAAUACAGUAGGGCUCCAUCACUGUAUUCUCAUUUCACCGUUAUUAAAGAUGAGGAGACAUGCACAGGAAAGUGGCCCCAGGGAAUGUUUGCAAGAAAGAAGACACAGGUGGUGUUCAUGAACUGAAAAUCUGCCAAAUCGGUGCCACCCAUGAGAUGCUAGUGAGGCAUCUUGUAUUGUUAAUUACUUUUAUUGAACUUGGAUGUGAUGCAGUGAUUUUUUUCUUAGUGUGUGUGUACAUAUACAUAUGUAUGACAGAGUCCAACUCUGUCUCAUUAUUGUGCUAGCCUCCCAGUUGCUAUAUUGAUGUGCUGCAGUCCUGGUGAAGAUUGAGAAGAGUGUGGUCCCUCUCAACCCACAGAGUGAGCAUUUCUGGAUUAAGGCAGAAGUGCUGAACUCCAUGCACAGUGUCUUUUAUGUUGUAUAUGGUGAGCAAAGUUACUGCUCAGAGAGGAUUCUAAAAGUUUGUCCAGGAUUACCAAAUGAGAAUUCUGGAGAUGGAGAUUGAGGAUUAGGUAAUUGGCGGGUGGGAGCCAGGGGAGGGGAGGGAAACGAAGUCAAGGGGAAGUGCAAAAUAUCUGAUUGUGCCCCAAAAAGCUGUGGUCUUAGAAGCACUUGGGAGUGUUAUUUUUUUCUGUUACUUUUGUCCUAUGGCUGUGAAAGGACUUUAUUCCACUAGAGAAUUCAGUGGAGGUCUCUUUUGCUCAAAUGAGAGGAAGGAGCCCAUCACAUUCUCAGAAGAAUGUCCUAAG